UGAAGGUCUGAUUGGUGCAGCCUCCUGGAAAGCCCAUUGGCCCCCCAAUCCCCACAGCCGCCCGCCCGCACCUCUCCCGCCUCCGGUCCUCCCUUCUCUCAGCCGCCACCCCACGAACCCUAGCCGUGCCCUCCUGCAUCUGUCCUCCUCCCCCUUCCUGGUCCGUCCCAAGCCCCUCCUCGUCUCAUGAGCUAGCCGAGGAAAAGAGGGGUGACGCGACGACCUGGUCGUCGGCCGGUGGGGAGCCUCGUAGAGGCGGUGGCGGAGACGACCCUAGAUGGUGCCCCGGCCAAGAUCUGGACAGGGUGCCUCAACCUCGUCUUCCUCUUCCACCUACUCGCUGAUAGAGAGACGGCAGCAGCGGUGGGAGGAGCCUAGGCGUAGAGGAGAGAAGUGGACGAGGGGGGUGCAAAGGCAGGAGAUGGGGGUCGCCGGAUGAGCACAGUCGCACAGGGCCUGAUCCCGCCGCUGCUAGAGCAGAGUGGAGGACCACAUGGCCCGAUGGGGUGGCUGGGAGCGUGCGGAUUCUGGCUCCCAAGCAGGGAAUGCAGUGGUGCUGGCCUCUCCUCUCCCUGCGCCUUUGUCCUGCGUCGUCACUACCGCCACGGCCUUUCUCGCCAUUGACCUCCCCAAGUGCUUCUCUCCACAAAUGGUGCCGCCAUGUCCAGAUCAAUUCAAGCGCCAGGAAAGUACAACACGUGCAUAACUUGUUUGAGGAAAUUCCAUCUGGAAGCAAUAUUUGAUCAUGACUUGUGUUCUUGAUGCUUCAUCUGCGGCUAGCUGACUACAACAUCACAUAUGUAAAGGGAAACCAUCGUAAGAAACACAGGUAAAAAGGCAUUUUCCUUGUUCUUAUAGUUUUGGAUCAAAGUUCACAUUUUACCUUGAGUGACUCUUUUUUUUUGUUAUAGAAUGGAUUCAACAAUAAUCAAUAAGGAAGUGCAAACUGAGAGGGGUGGGAAAAAUAACCUAAGUAAAGAGCUAAUAUGAAAUGCUACUUUCCAGUGAUUUGUUGUGACCUGUUAAUUUUUUAGUAUGGAGCUUGAAGUUUUAAUGCAGAUAGGAAGUUUCAUUUUAUUCUUAUCCACAUGCUUACUAAAUUUACAUUUUUAUUUCAUUUCUGGAAAGAGGCAACCUUAAAUAAUUUAGAGGACUCUUCAGAUUAUAAGAGAAAAGCCAUAUAGGUCAUAAAUGCAUAGGCAUUCCAAAAAAAGGCACAAAAAUUGAGCUAGAAGGUAUGUAUAAAUUCAUGUGAAACUGAGACAUAGGCAAGCAUACAUAGGAAUUUUGCAGGAUCAUUCCUACGAUCUGGAGGGCCAUUAUAGCCAGAUUUACCUAACGUCUCUAAGAAAAUCUUUUGAAACUCGGACCAUCCAGAUAUAUCAACAUGGAAAAGCCUGCUGAAAGAAACUUUUGUAGCUGAAGAUGCUUGAUUAUACUUCCUAUGGGCUUGUUUUGAAAAGAAUUUUUCCUGGCAUGCCAUAUGUGAGCCCCCAACCAUCUCUCUCUCUCUCCCGCACUCAUUUUCUCUCUCUCACGUUUUGCCUUUGAGGCUGUAGAUCUAAGCACUAGCUGUUUGUAAAAAUGCUCAAGGUGGGCUGCUUAGAGGAGGGCAGUAUGUUCUACAGUUUCAGUUAUAUGAUUACAUACAACUAAACAGAAGUUUACAUGAUUCUAUAAUUAUUGUUGGAGAUUUUUACUCACAGUAAAUUUCUUCAAAGGAUCUGUUUAAAGACAACAGGCAUAUAUUUGUACAGAGAUCAUAUUAUUUUGAUACCCAUGUAAGUUCUCUUAUCUCUUUGAUGUGCAUCUUCUUUAGGAACUUACCUCGUUGCAAUUUCUGGUCAUUCUUUGCAUAGCUAAAUCGGUAUCAAGAAUAUUGUAUUGUUUAUUUCUUACCAUGUCUGAUCGACUAAUAUGGCUACGUCUAUGCAAUACUUUUAUAGAUGAAAUUGGUGGUUCAUGGAGACCCAAGGUGCACUGACAGAAGAUAUCAGAGGAGCAGAGGAAAAUGCAAGUGUGUAUGUGUGAAAAAUUAUUGCUUUAACUCAAGAUCAGUUGUUCGUUCUUUCAAGCGCUAUGUUGCUUACUCAAAUGUUUGUGGCGAUUGUAUCCUUGUGCCAUGAAUAUUUUUUACUUAGCAGAUCAAUAUAAACAUAUUGGCUAUCUAUUUACCAAUUCUGAAUUUAAAGCACUUUAUUUUAUGGCCUUCAGUAAAAGUUCAGUCAUUGUUGGCUGGAAGACAUCUUCAAUACGCCGUCAACACGAGCUUACCAAGGUAAUGAUCUAUUUAUUAUCAGCCCAUAUCUGGUUUGUAACAGGGUUAUUAUGUUUCAAAAUCCUCUGGCAUCAGAAAGGAGAUUUUGUGGAUGAUGUAAGAUAUCCACAUGUUGUAUAUGUGGAAAAACCAAAGGCUCGGGAUGUUGAUUUUUCGGAUGAAAUGAUUUAUCAGGCAAAAACUACAAGUGAAAUGGAAGAAGUAACGCUCAAAAGCCUGAAUAGAAUUCCUUGGCAAAGGGUAGAUGUUAGCUUCAAGAGAAGUAGACAAUGGAUUUUUGCCCAUAGCACCAUUCAGGUCCAGUUGUCGUUGCCUUCACUUGCUUUGUCGUUUACCCAUCUGUCAGCUCGCCGAUCCCCUGACUUGCUGUCAAGUUGAGAUCGAGGAGAGAGCAAGCCGUUGCAGAGGAGAGGGGAUACGAGGGUGGGCGGAGGUCAGGCAUUGCUAACAGAUUUGCGGCGGAGUGGGAGAGGUGACGCCGGCCGGCCGGCGCCUCACCACCGGCUCCUGUUUGGCGGUGGCAAAGAGAAGGGUGCCGAGGAUGUGUUGCUCUAUGCAUGGCUGUUGAAGUACAUCAUCGUUAUGAUGUGUAUGGUUUCUCUAUUUUCAGCCCUACUGCUCCAGAUCCCAAAUCCCAUGACCAUGCCCCCACCUCUCCUUCGUUGAAUGAAGGGAGUCUGGUUGCUAAAAAGUGACUUUUCUUAAUCAGUAUGUAUGGCCCCUCUGCACAUGCCGUUUCUUCGUAUUUAAGAGGCCCUCAAGCUUUGUCAGUUUUCUGAUAGAUAUGGAAUUUUAAUUUGAUAGUCCCAACAACGGUGGGUACUGAUGGAGCUAUCUAUUAUUUAUUGUCAAUCUGUAAUACUUUUGUCAGCUUCUAGCAUGUGGUUGCUCUACCAGAGUGCAAUUUUCUCUGCGUGGCAUACACCAGUUACCAUUAGUUGAUAUGUUUGUUGAAGUUUUAUUACAAGUUAAAUAAAUGUGUAGUGUGGCAAACUGAUUAUUAUAAUUUGAUAAUGUCAGGCGCCGAUGGCUUUAUAGAUAUGUAAAUAAAAUACCUUUAAGUAAAACUAAGCAUUUAAUUAUUGUUAUGUUAUGCUAUUGAUUUCACCUGACUUUAUGUCGGCCGAUUAGUUCUGAAGGAUUCCACAUCGGCUAAUUUAGAUUAUUUUACUAGAGUAUUAGAAGAAGUUCCUGAUAUAUGUACUUAGAGCAUUUGCUGAGAUUUGAUGCAAAAUAUUGAUGACCAGGCAUUAUACUGCGCAUAAGCACAAUUUUUUAGUUUUUAUUUUUAUUGUUGCAGCAGCUUUUCUAUAGCAAUAGCCAAAUAGUGUGACAUAACACUAUUCCAUUUUCACAGGCCAUAACACAUCUUUACAUAGUGAGCUACCAUCACUUCUCAUUACUGACUGUAAUUAAUAUAUAUGUGUUUAUGCCAUAAAAGAUGGACAUUUGUCGAAUCCAUUGUCGUGCAUGUAAUUACUUGCAGAUCAACUAUAUAGUUUUGUUCGGAUUGUAAAGUGGAAACGAUAAAACCCUACAACUCAUGUGUGAUUGUCUUUUGAUUAUUUACUUCCUCAAGUAAUAUGGAUAUGGUGCUGCGAGGAUAUUAAGUAUAUUCAUGAAGUUGUAUAAAUCACGUUCUACGAUUCACUUCUGUUAUGCAUAUUUACUUUCCAGUUUUAGGACCGAGAUCCAUCCAUUGUAAUGAAUUUGGUUGUAUGGGCAUUACCUAUUUGACUUAGGUUUGCUUCAUCACAUAUAGACUGCUUUUCUUUUCCCCACUGCUUGUAUGGCCUAAAACUAUCAUGUAUAUGACACAAGUUAUUAGCAAUGUUUCACAUUUUCUUA